GCUCAACUGCCAUUUUAGCCGCCCAACGGACAUAUGAAGGUCCUUUCUCAUUAAAUGCUGCUUCAAUAUUUUGAUAUUCAUUCUCAAUCUAUAAGAAGUCAAGGUGGUUAAAGUAGGUGAACCAAGAAUUGGUUCCUCUUACCUAGGUUAGCCUCAAGUCCCUCUUAUUAAAAUUAAGUACCCAAAUUGGUUCCUCUUACACAGGUUAACCUCAAGUCCUUGUUAUUAAAAUCAAGAACACAAUAUAAUGUUUGAACUUUUGUAGGAUGAACCACCAGCGAAAAAUUUUAAUGAAUUUAUCCAUCUAUCUAUAUGUCACCCCAAGUUUUUUCACACUGCAUUGUUUACAAGCCUUCUAAGCCCCAUGAGAUGCACAAGCAACAAAGCGCACACACAACACAACAAUUGUAGGGAAAAAACCUCAAUUGCAUUAAGUCUCUUAAGUAACUAGAAGAUAUUGCCAAGACCUUUUGUGAACAGGACUUGUAUAAUUAUUUGAUAAGUUCAUGUAAAGAAUGGCUUGAUAAUACACUAAUAAAUGGAUCAUCGAGAACAUCAAAUUUAGGUUUGAUAUCAAAAAACCUCAAUUGCAUUAAGUCUCUUAAGUAACUAGAAGAUAUUGCCAAGACCUUUUGUGAACAGGACUUGUACAAUUAUUUGAUGAGUUCAUGCAAAGAAUGGCUUGGAAAUACACACUAAUAAAUGGAUCAUCGAGAACAUCAAAUCUAGGUUUGAUAUCAAUCCAUUAACUAGCCAUCACCCACUUGAUCGAUGCAAUAAAAAAGGGCUUAAGUUCCAACAAUACAGGAUUUAAUCUAGUUAUCUGGAUCUGUCAUGUAAUUUAUUGGUCAAACACUUACUACUGUGUGCCUUAUAUUCUAGAACAUUAUGGCAUGAAAGUUGAUAGUUGUAUUUAGUGUCUAUUAAUUUUUACAUUGAUAAAGAGAGAGUUAUAAUGGUGUGAGGGUUCUAUGGACAAUGUCAAAAGCAUCAUGUAAUGUUGUAAUGAAGAAAUAUUCAUACCUUGAAGGGUUCAUUAUCAGUCCUAUAAACAAUGCCAUGAACAUCAUGUAACCAAAAUGGAAGCCCACUGCAUAACCAGAAAUCGAACAAAAAAUUCAGUCACUUUUUUAUUUAAGUGUGGAGUGGUGGGCCUAUAUGAUAACGGUCUCAUACCCACCCAUAACUCCAUUCACUCUCAAUGAAGGGUCCUAUCCUAAGACAAGCGUAGAGUCCCUGAGCUUGGAUUUCCUUGAUGAACUUCGCCAGAUCAUAUCUUCCAUUGAAAUCAUACUGCGGGUUUAACAUCAAUUCAGAAGCAUUAAUAUAUAUGGGAGAGAUGGGCAGGGGUGGGUGCGUGUUGGUACUUAGCAGUUACUGACCUGACCAGGUUGUGGCUCAUGACGGUUCCAAAACACAUAGGUCUGAAUCACAUCUACCCCUCCUUCCUUGGCUUUGGCUAUUAGUGACGCCCACAUCUGCACACCAUUUCCGCAUUUUUAACUGAUAAAAGACAACGUACAAGACCUAGAUUUGGCUAGUGUAUUUUCAGAUUGGGCAAAGACUUCUCUAUCUGUUUAUCCUUUGGGGGAGUCUUGACCCUUGAGAAGCUGCAUGCGUGUGCUUGGUCCAUUAAAUUUCUAAUGCUACAUCUUACAAAACAGUGGCCAUCUUUCCAUCAAAUGCUAUGUUGUUAGCUGGGUGAAAGCAACAAAACAGUGGCACCCAAAAGUAGUAGGAAAAAACAAAGUUAUGAAUUGAGAAAGAAAAGCUGUAAAUACCUGGGGAGUGCUGCGAGGAUAGUGAAUAGAACCAGAAAAGAGAAUUUUUCUGUGGCCAUCUAUGAUAAGUGACCUUCCAUCAUACGUGACUUGUGCUCCCCUAGCCUUGAAUGUCGCCACCCCGGCUACCACCACCACCACCACCCAAUACACCCAAUGCAACAUGGAUGUCCUAUAUGUAGCUUGUGAGAUAUCAGAAGAAGAGGGAGAGGGAGAUGGUUAUAUAUCUUAUGCUCUCAAGGUUGGUAGAGAGGGUAAUGGGAUUGAGGUUUUGCUUUGCUGGUAGACAUGGGUAGAUAAUGUGAUUGACUCCUUUUGGGAUACCUGUUUUUCCUCUAUUGGUUCUUUUUUUUUUUUUUUUUUUUUUUUGAAGCAAUGUCACUUUUUAAUUAUG